rnacentral:rRNA from 1 species
UAUGCGAAAAACAAACCUUAGCUAGCAGUAUCCUGAGUAGGGCGGGACACGAGAAAUCCUGUCUGAAGCUGGGUCGACCACGAUCCAACCCUAAAUACUAAUACCAGAUCGAUAGUGCACAAGUACCGUGAGGGAAAGGUGAAAAGAACUGAGGUGAUCAGAGUGAAAUAGAACCUGAAACCAUUUGCUUACAAUCAUUCAGAGCCCUAUGUAGCAAUACAGGGUGAUGGACUGCCUUUUGCAUAAUGAGCCUGCGAGUUGUGGUGUCUGGCAAGGUUAAGCAAACGCGAAGCCGUAGCGAAAGCGAGUCUGAAUAGGGCGCUUAGUCAGAUGCUGCAGACCCGAAACGAAGUGAUCUAUCCAUGAGCAAGUUGAAGCUAGUGUAAGAACUAGUGGAGGACUGAACCCAUAGGCGUUGAAAAGCCCCGGGAUGACUUGUGGAUAGGGGUGAAAGGCCAAUCAAACUUCGUGAUAGCUGGUUCUCUCCGAAAUAUAUUUAGGUAUAGCGUUGUGUCGUAAUAUAAGGGGGUAGAGCACUGAAUGGGCUAGGGCAUACACCAAUGUACCAAACCCUAUCAAACUCCGAAUACCUUAUAU